CUCAGCAAUAUAAGCUGAUUCUAUUUCAUUUUGUAUUCAUUCAUUCACAAAUUAAUGCAAAGCUCUUCUUCUCUCAAUCUCUCUUCUCCCUCGCAUAGUUCUAUCUGUGUAGGUGCGAUUCCGAUCGCCGUUCUUACCUCCGGCAGCCCCAAUUCUGCACCAGGAACUUACUUAGAUGAUGAGAAAAAGCUUGAUGAAUGAACAAUAUGCAACUCUCCUCUCCUUGCUAGCUAGACUCUUGAAGCACUUUCCUCUAAACUUGAAUGUGUGGAAACAUGAAUUUUUGUGGGUGGAAUGGAUAAGUUUAUAUGAUGAAACUGAUGAGAGAUUGUGAUGGGAAAAAGGGUUGAUAGGGAUGUUCUAUUUAUAGUGAAUUUCUUACCGUGUGAUGUUGAAUGUGGCGACAAGAUACGUAAGGCUCCUCUCCUCUUAUUCUUCAUACUCAUCAUGGUGUUGGGGAUUUUGUUCCUCUGAUUCUAAUUAACUCACCGUUGGAGCAUGCAUGGGGAGGAUUUAUUCAUGCAAGAUUUUGAAAAUGAUAAUGCGUGUGUGCUAUGGCUAGCUGCAACGGGACGAGCAAUUUUGUUUAGGUUUGUAUACUCAAUGUCAUACACUAACUAAACAUUGCACAAUUAUGCCAACUGUUGAGGUUUUGGGGCACUUUAGGCCUUUCUUUGCUGCGUGCAUUUGAAUAAGCAAUAUAUCUGGGAUAUUAAGAAACCUAUUUAAUAUAGUAAGCAUUAUAUCUGGGUUGUCGAGUAGUACUAGUUCAGUCAUGCAUUUUAGCUCAUUCAUCAGAUCGAUAUUUGCCAUGUUUUUCUGUUAAUUGUGGCUUCAUUAUAAAAACUUUUUUAUAUAGUAUAUGUUAUGUGCAGGCUCUUCCACUAUAUCUGGAUAAGUUGUUUCCUAUUGUUGCUGUCAUUCCGUCGACUGUUGAUAAUCCCUCAAGCAGCUUGCUCUAGACAUGGUUGGUUGCGGGUGCUUAUUGUGUAUGGCUUGUGCACAUUUUGAUGAUCAUUUGCUACCCGAUUGCUUACCCUGUUGAAAAGCCUAUGAAAUUGAUCAAACGGAAGACAUGACAAUGCUGAGUUGGUUCAAAAAAGGAAAGAAUGAGGACAGAGAUUACUGCUGCCCCAUUUGCUUUGAUGACUUCCACAUUCUAUGUUGGGCUAACUGUCGCCAUUGGUUUUGUGGCAAGUCUCUCUCUUUCUGCAUUUUUUUCUUUUCAACUUCAACUUGAAAUGAAGAAAUUGGAGUCUUAAAUUUGUGGGUUUUGUUUUCUUGUUGCCUCUGCCUAAAAAAGAAAUGCAGCUUCUAUUUAUCAAUAUUUGAUUAAAUGUGGGAGGAAAUGAAUAGAUUAAAUGUGUUUCAUGGAAAAUUUCCAGUAUUGCAAGUGUCAUAGGUGUCGAUCCUUGAUAUCUAAUCUGGUUCCCUUCAGCCAGGAAGACAAGUUCGCAAGAUACUCAGAGAGCUCAAGCGACACAAUUAGUUCAAGUACUUUUGUUUAGUUUUCUGUACAAGUAAAUAUUGGUGUAUGCUGCUUUUACAUUCAUAUGCAAUGUCUUGACAUGUUUCCUCUAGAUGGAUGUAAUGAGAUUGAAUGGAUAACUGCUAACUCAUAUCUGUUAAU